ACUCAUACCUUGUAGGGGAAACACCAUGUCAUAAAAGUGGUUUUCCCAGGGGGGAGGCUGAUACAUUACACUUCAGGUGUGCUACUGAUCACUAUGAUUUCUCCAAAUGUGGAGAACUCAACUGCAUAAUUUGUGCUAAUGGGGGAUUGCCCUCGUGAUUUCCCUGG
rnacentral:snRNA from 1 species